CCGUAAACGGUGGAUGCUGGAUGUGGGGACCAUUCCACGGUCUCCGUGUCGGAGCCAACGCGUUAAGCAUCCCGCAUGGGGAGUACGGCCGCAAGGCUAAAACUCAAAGAAAUUGACGGGGGCCCGCACAAGCGGCGGAGCAUGCGGAUUAAUUCGAUGCAACGCGAAGAACCUUACCUGGGCUUGACAUGUUCCCGACAGCCGUAGAGAUACGGUCUCCCUUCGGGGCGGGUUCACAGGUGGUGCAUGGUCGUCGUCAGCUCGUGUCGUGAGAUGUUGGGUUAAGUCCCGCAACGAGCGCAACCCUCGCCCUGUGUUGCCAGCACGUCGUGGUGGGAACUCACGGGGGACCGCCGGGGUCAACUCGGAGGAAGGUGGGGAUGACGUCAGAUCAUCAUGCCCCUUACGUCCAGGGCUUCACGCAUGCUACAAUGGCCGGUACAACGGGAUGCGACCUCGUGAGGGGGAGCGGAUCCCUUAAAACCGGUCUCAGUUCGGAUUGGAGUCUGCAACCCGACUCCAUGAAGGCGGAGUCGCUAGUAAUCGCGGAUCAGCAACGCCGCGGUGAAUGCGUUCCCGGGCCUUGUACACACCGCCCGUCAAGUCAUGAAAGUGGGUAGCACCCGAAGCCGGUGGCCCAACCUUUUGGGGGGAGCCGUCUAAGGUGAGACUCGUGAUUGGGACUAAGUCGUAACAAGGUAGCCGUACCGGAAGGUGCGGCUG
rnacentral:rRNA from 1 species